rnacentral:rRNA from 1 species
AACGAACGCUGGCGGCAGGCUUAACACAUGCAAGUCGAGCGAAUGGAUUAAGAGCUUGCUCUUAUGAAGUUAGCGGCGGACGGGUGAGUAACACGUGGGUAACCUGCCCAUAAGACUGGGAUAACUCCGGGAAACCGGGGCUAAUGCCGGAUAACAUUUUGAACCGCAUGGUUCGAAAUUGAAAGGCGGCUUCGGCUGUCACUUAUGGAUGGACCCGCGUCGCAUUAGCUAGUUGGUGAGGUAACGGCUCACCAAGGCAACGAUGCGUAGCCGACCUGAGAGGGUGAUCGGCCACACUGGACUGAGACACGGCCCAGACUCCUACGGGAGGUAGCAGUAGGGAAUCUUCCGCAAUGGACGAAAGUCUGACGGAGCAACGCCGCGUGAGUGAUGAAGGCUUUCGGGUCGUAAAACUCUGUUGUUAGGGAAGAACAAGUGCUAGUUGAAUAAGCUGGCACCUUGACGGUACCUAACCAGAAAGCCACGGCUAACUACGUGCCAGCCGCCGCAGUAA